CCUAUCUGUUGUGGGCGCAGGAUACUUGAGAGGAGUUGCUUCUAGUACGAGAGGACCGAAGUGAACGAACCAAUGGUGUACCGGUUGUACUGCCAAGUGCAUAGCCGGGUAGCUAAGUUCGGAAAGGAUAAGCGUUGAAAGCAUCUAAACGCCAAGCCUCCCUCAAGAUAAGGUAUCCCAAUUAGACACCACGAAGACUACGUGGUAGAUAGGUUGGAUGUGUAAGCGUAGUAAUACGUUGAGCUAACCAAUACUAAUAAGUCGAUUGGCUUGACCAA
rnacentral:ncRNA from 1 species